rnacentral:rRNA from 1 species
AGAAUCAACGCUGGCGGCGUGCCUCAGACAUGCAAGUCGAACGCGAAAGUUCCCUUCGGGGAGCAAGUAGAGUGGCGCACGGGUGAGUAACACGUAGGUAAUCUACCUUUGGAUGGGGAAUAACAACCGGAAACGGUUGCUAAUACCGCAUAAUGCAGCGGCACCUAAUGGUGACAGUUGUUAAAGCGGGGGAUCGAAAGACCUCGCGUCUGAAGAGGAGCCUGCGGCGGAUUAGCUAGUUGGUAAGGUAACGGCUUACCAAGGCAGUGAUCC